GGAGGACUCUGAGGGGCUGGGAUGGGAUCUCUAUGGCUACGAGGGGUGGGAUUUCAUCUCCUUCCAGCUGGGACCCAGGAGCUUUGCAGUGUCCGACGGUGCCACCUGGAUCACCUGGAGGUGCUGGGAAUGCAAAGGGAUCAUGGUGGAGCAGAUGAAGCAUUAUCUGGGACACAGCUGUGUGGAAGAGCUCCCAAAAUCCAUCAGACAUGGUCAGGAGGCUCUGGAGCACAAAGUGAAAAGCAGCUUAAGAAAGGAAGAUGAACAUCUACUCAAGGAUUGAUGGUUUCGACCAAGAGAAGCUGGACAUCACUGUAAUGAGAUUUGGAAUUAAAAGGUGGACCCAUCUGGAAUCUGGACCUCACCAGCUGGGAGACUUCUUUCUUCUUUCGGAAGCCGGACCCCACCAUCUGGGGAUACUCCUUUCUGGGAUACAUCCUGAGAAAAACUAAAUCAUAAUAGUGUAUAGAAUUGUGACGUAAAAAUUGGGAACGGAAACUGCUGAGAAAGCUUAUGAGUACCCCUAUCAAUGCCUGUAAGCCUCAACUAUCGGUGUGCAGCUGGAGGGAAAACUUCCCCCCCUGUACCCAGCCUGUAUUGCUCAUACUUUACCAUAUGAAUUAAUAAAUUGAUUGCUGCUUGAA